UGUGGCUGAACAGGCUCCUCUGGUUGCUGAUGACGGUGUGCAGAAGGUGACAGACAUCAUCCAUAAUGUCCAGUAGUAUGUCCAGUGUGGUCUUCUCUGCCACUGUCUUUAGAGAGUCCAGCUUUAUGCCAACCACGGAGCCAGCCCGCCUGAUCAGUUUGUCCAGCCUGGAUGUGCUGCCCCCCACCAGCACACCACAGUGUAAAAGAGGACGCUGACUACCACAGACUGGUAGAAAAUCCACAGGAGUUUCCCGCAGAUGUUAAAGGACCGCAGCCUCCUCAGGAAGUACAGUCUACUUUGUCCCUUCCUACAGGUGGUUGUGUGGGAUGUCCAAUCCAAUUUGCUGUCCAGCCACAGCCCGAUGUACUUGUAGGAAUCCACAGCCUCCACCUCAACUCCUUCGAUCAGAACUGGUUGUGGACUUGGUCUGGACUUCCCAAAGUCAAUGACCAGCUCCUUUGUCUUCAAGGUGUUGAGGUGUAGAUGGUUUGUGUGGCACUAGACAGCAAAGUCCCUCACUCAGGGUUAUGAGAUGAUUU